rnacentral:misc_RNA from 1 species
CAGAGUUGCAAGACUCCCUAAACCAUUGUGAACCUACCUUCUACCGUUGCUUCGGCGGGCGGGCCCAGCGCCCCCCCCGGCCCCCCCGCGGGCGCCCGCCGGAGGAUACCCAAACUCUUGACAUUAGUGGCCUCUCUGAGUAUUCUUUACUGAAUAAGUCAA